AGUGAACGCUGGCGGUAGGCCUAACACAUGCAAGUCGAACGGCAGCACAGUAAGAGCUUGCUCUUACGGGUGGCGAGUGGCGGACGGGUGAGGAAUACAUCGGAAUCUACUUUUUCGUGGGGGAUAACGUAGGGAAACUUACGCUAAUACCGCAUACGACCUACGGGUGAAAGCAGGGGAUCUUCGGACCUUGCGCGAUUGAAUGAGCCGAUGUCGGAUUAGCUAGUUGGCGGGGUAAAGGCCCACCAAGGCGACGAUCCGUAGCUGGUCUGAGAGGAUGAUCCGCCAGACUGUAUGUGAGACACGGCCCAGACUCCUACGGGAGGCAGCAGUGGGGAAUAUUGGACAAUGGGCGCAAGCCUGAUCCAGCCAUACCGCGUGGGUGAAGAAGGCCUUCGGGUUGUAAAGCCCUUUUGUUGGGAAAGAAAAGCAGCAGGUUAAUACCCCGCUGUUCUGACGGUACCCAAAGAAUAAGCACCGGCUAACUUCGUG
rnacentral:rRNA from 1 species